UACGUAGGGUGCGAGCGUUAAUCGGAAUUACUGGGCGUAAAGCGUACGCAGGCGGCUGCGCAAGACAGAUGUGAAAUCCCCGGGCUCAACCUGGGAACUGCAUUUGUGACUGCACAGCUGGAGUGCGGCAGAGGGGGAUGGAAUUCCGCGUGUAGCAGUGAAAUGCGUAGAUAUGCGGAGGAACACCGAUGGCGAAGGCAAUCCCCUGGGCCUGCACUGACGCUCAUGCACGAAAGCGUGGGGAGCAAACAGG
rnacentral:rRNA from 1 species